UCGCCAGGAGAUCAAUUUCGAAAUCGUACAUGGUUCUUGCCUUUUACCAGAGCCAUCCGGGAAUUGUCUCUGCUAAUGGCGUACUUUUAUUUUUUGGAACCUUCUUACGAGCU
rnacentral:snRNA from 1 species